GUAGUGACGUCACCGCCUGGCUGAUCGCCAGCCCGGGCUGACGUCAGUUUCUAAAUCUGGCCCGCGGCUUGUUUACAAGGCGCAUUGUCUCCUGCUGUAGCUGCUGCUGUAGCUCUAGCUGCUGCUGUAGCUGCUGUAGUAGCAGCUACAGCAGCAGCGGCGGCGACUGUAGGCCCGGCACAGCUCUCGGUACCUCGCACGUCGACUCGGCGAGUACUCGACGGGACCGAGCCCCCCCUCGCGGAGCCCCCCCUCGCGGGACCGAGCCCCCCCUCGCGGGACCGAGCCCCCCCUCGCGGGACCGAGCCCCCCCUCGGUGGCUCGCUCCUCGCUAUGUAAACAACAACAACACCGCCACCACGCGCCGUGUUCCUUCGCGGGGGGCUUGGCGUCAACAACACGGCGGGCCCAGCAGCACGCCACGGAUCGUGUCAACAUCGCCACGACGGCGGCGGUGACACACCUUCAACACCACCAACUGGAGCCACCACCACCACCAACUGGAGCCUCCACCACCAGCUGGAGCCUCCACCACCAGCUGGAGCCUCCACCACCAGCUGGAGCCUACGACCGCGUUGAACGCUCACGUCUCUCUGCUGGAACCCCGAGCGCCGUGGAUAGUGCACGCGGAUGGAUUUAAGAUCGUGGUAGCGGUGUCCACUCACUGGUACAAGUCGUGAAUCAGAAUCACAAUCUUAAUUUAUCCUGGAGAAAUCCGAUGAGCCAUGAAGCUCUUUGUGCGUGGUGGAGCCUUUCCAUGUGGGCCCCGUCACAGUGCACGGUCUAAAUCAGGCUCUUCUCCUCCUCGGUGCUCGCCAAAGCCCAAAUGGGCACGAGCGACAGCGCCUCAUGCCGUCUAAACCUUGUGCCGGCAACAUCGCCGGAUAACGCCAUUUAUCCGGACGGCUCAACUUAUAAAACUGAGCAAUUGAAUUAGACUCGCCCAUUAUGCUGAUUGAAUUUGACAGCCAAUCCGGUUAAAUUGGAACCAGUACGUCUUAUGACGGCUCGUGCACGGCUUACACAUGGCUACAGUCACCGCCUAAUAGCCUCAUGAAGGACUUGAGUCACGCGUUGUGUGCUGCUCAGAAGCUGCCGUACCCCCUGGCCCGCCCCUGGUUCAAGUAAUCCAGGAUAGGCUGUGGGCUGAGCCGGCCUGUCCUCGGUUGCUUGGCCUUGGUGCGGUGCCACCAUCGGCCACCAUCGGCCACCGGUUGACGUGCGAUUCGUGUCUCCGGGCGUGAGCUGCUGCGGGGAAGUACGUGAGCCGUCACUUGAGACGCGCCGGUGACUGCGUGUAAAAUAAAACGCCGUGUUUCACGUACGCGGCUGUCACCACC